rnacentral:lncRNA from 10 species
AUUUGUCCAGAUUUUGUGAUGUUCACAGUAUUUUUCAGCAUUUUCAUGCAUACAAUUUCCAUGAUUUAUUUUCUCUUCCUAAAUAAACAUUAAUUUUUGUUCUUAGUUUUGUAGUGCUAACAUUGUGCUAUUUUUUUUUUUUUUUCACAGAGAGCCCCUAUGUAUGCUCCUCAGGCCUUGCACAACUUGGUCCUCCUGUCCUUGUUAUGGCAAGUGUCCACCUGCCCAAGGAAAGACUGUGCUGUCUUGUGCUUCCCAGGCCUCCAAAUGCACUCACCCCUCCAUCCAGAGCGAUUUCUCCAUGCUGGAUGAGGGUUUUCUAACCUCUUCAUUUUCAAUCUUUUACCACUGAUUUGUGACAUUAUUUUUGGUAAAGAAAGUCUUAGAAAAGGCAUAAAAUUUCCAAAAUGGGAAUUGAGUGAUUUUCAAUUUUGUAAUUUUUGAUAUUUGUAGGCGCAGAUCGGUGCGGUGAAACCCUGUCUUACUCUCCUACAAAGACCUAGUGGCUUCAGGACACAGUUCAGACAAUUCAUUUGGCUCAGAAGAUAUACCUGCUCACCCUCAGCAUCCCUAUCCACUUCUUCUCUCCAAAAGAGCAGACACACAGGGAGAAGUUGGGGGGAUCCCAGUAUACAGCCUCUUCUUUACUCCCAACUUUCUCAAGGGAGAGAGAAUUGUAUCUGAUAAGUGGCUUAAUUUACACAAAAUCCUCUCUUCAUUGUGUGUCUU